UGUUUGGAGAGCUGUGGAUUGGGUCUUGCUGAUGGCAACUGGAGACCUAGAUGAAGGCAAGCACAGGGAAUUGUUUUACCUGGGCCCUGCAAGUGAAUGAUACAAAGAGGAACAAAAAUUUGAAGAGGUGCAUUGGGGAAAGGAAGGAACUGCAAUGUGAACAGGUGAGCAAGCAGGGCUGUCAUAUCUUUAUAACAAGUUAUGUCCCUUCUGGCCAGGGUAACACAUUAUUAACUGCAUUGGAAAUACCUGUAGUGUCCUCCACAGUAAUGAGAAAUAGAUCUGCACAGUCUGUUGGGUUCAGGUUGCUGGAGGAGGAGAGGACAGCUGUGGUGAGAUGGAUGCACUCACUUUCUACUGUCCUCUUGCAUGGCGUAUAAUUGCUUUAUUGUCCUUUGUUUUUACAGAACCAUUUCAGUACUGCUGCCCAGAUCAAAUUUUGUGGAGAUCAUUUUAAAAUGAAUCUUAGCCUUUGGCCUGAAAUCCAUCACCUGCAGAAACUUUUACAAGCAAUCCUGACAUCUGGAGAGCGGCUGGACCCAUCUCUGGAAGUCAACCCAACCAGCUCUUCAGACACCUGGGGCUACAGGUGACCUUCCAGGUUUUGCUGUUACACUCCUUCCCCCUGGGGCUGGCUCUGCUUGAAAGCAGAGGAGGCCUGCGGUGUUGCCAAGUUCAUUGCUGCAGACCUCUUGGUUCCCCCAAGAGAAUGGGUAAAGGCUCUUUUCGAUCCCACUGCGCAUCUCUGGGCUCUGCUGACCUCAUGUGGAGAGCAUCACAGGGAGGAAGAGGACUCAGCACAUGACUGGACUUUGCGGCCAGCUCUGGACCA